GCCGCCUUAGCUCAGGGGUAGAGCACUUCCAUGGUAAGGAAGGGGGCCUCGGUUCAAAUCCGAGAGGCGGCU
rnacentral:tRNA from 3 species